GGAACAUCAUUUUACAUUUCAGGUAUUGCGCGGAAUAAUCCAGAAAAUAAAGUUGAAAACUGGGAUAAAAUAAAGUUGGUGUGAUUGAAGGUUUUAAGAUUUAUCACGAGCAAAUUGCCACUGAGCCUUUCAGUUCUAAAUUUACAAUUUUUUUUACCUUUUUCAAUUAGUUAAAUCAGUGUUUUUACCAGGUGGAGUAUAGGUGUGAUAGCAUAUAUUUUAUUAUGUGGCAGUCGUCCAUUUUGGGGCCGAACAGAGUCUGGUAUUUUUAGGGCAGUUUUGAAAGUUGAUCCAAGCUUUGACCAAACACUGUGGCCAUCUUUGUCUUUUGAAGCUAAAGAUUUUGUCAAACGCAUAUUGAAUAAGGAUCCACUGAAGCGAUUAUUUGCUGCUCAGGCUCUAUGUCAUCCUUGGAUACGAAAUUGCAACAAUGUAAAAGUUCCACUUGAUAUUUUAAUAUUUAAGCUCAUGAAGACAUAUAUGAGAUCUUCAUCCUUACGCAAGGCUGCCUUGAGGAGAUCCCUUAAUUUGAAGAAUUUUGUGUAGCUGCAUUGAGUGUGCAUCAACUUGAAGCUCUUGAUCGUUGGGAACAACAUACCCGUUGUGCAUAUGAACUCUUUGAUAAAGACGGAAACAGGGCUAUUGUCAUUGAACAAAUUGCUUCAGAACUUGGACUUGGUCCCUCUAUCCUUGUUCAUGUCGUUCUUCAUGAUUGGAUAUGCCAUACUGAUGGCAAGUUAAGUUUUCUUGGGCUUGUCAAAUUUAAAGCAAAAGCCCUAUGGAUAUGCUAAAUUUUCUCUGCCUUGUGUGGCUCGACCAUAGUUGAAUUUGUAUCUAGUGUGUGCUGGAACUAAUUAUUGUUGUCUUGUUGCUAUCUGAAGCUCUUGCUAGCACACACCCAUUUAAAGUACAUGUUCAUAAUGAAAUGAAACUCGGAUUCUUUUGAA